rnacentral:rRNA from 2 species
GCCUAAUACAUGCAAGUCGUACGCACUGGCCCAACUGAUUGAUGGUGCUUGCACCUGAUUGACGAUGGAUUACCAGUGAGUGGCGGACGGGUGAGUAACACGUAGGUAACCUGCCCCGGAGCGGGGGAUAACAUUUGGAAACAGAUGCUAAUACCGCAUAACAACAAAAGCCACAUGGCUUUUGUUUGAAAGAUGGCUUUGGCUAUCACUCUGGGAUGGACCUGCGGUGCAUUAGCUAGUUGGUAAGGUAACGGCUUACCAAGGCGAUGAUGCAUAGCCGAGUUGAGAGACUGAUCGGCCACAAUGGAACUGAGACACGGUCCAUACUCCUACGGGAGGCAGCAGUAGGGAAUCUUCCACAAUGGGCGCAAGCCUGAUGGAGCAACACCGCGUGAGUGAAGAAGGGUUUCGGCUCGUAAAGCUCUUGUUGUUGGAGAAGAACGUGCGUGAGAGUAACUGUUCACGCAGUGACGGUAUCCAACCAGAAAGUCACGGCUAACUACGUGCCAGCAGCCGCGGUAAUACGUAGGUGGCAAGCGUUAUCCGGAUUUAUUGGGCGUAAAGCGAGCGCAGGCGGUUGCUUAGGUCUGAUGUGAAAGCCUUCGGCUUAACCGAAGAAGUGCAUCGGAAACCGGGCGACUUGAGUGCAGAAGAGGACAGUGGAACUCCAUGUGUAGCGGUGGAAUGCGUAGAUAUAUGGAAGAACACCAGUGGCGAAGGCGGCUGUCUGGUCUGCAACUGACGCUGAGGCUCGAAAGCAUGGGUAGCGAACAGGAUUAGAUACCCUGGUAGUCCAUGCCGUAAACGAUGAGUGCUAGGUGUUGGAGGGUUUCCGCCCUUCAGUGCCGGAGCUAACGCAUUAAGCACUCCGCCUGGGGAGUACGACCGCAAGGUUGAAACUCAAAGGAAUUGACGGGGGCCCGCACAAGCGGUGGAACAUGUGGUUUAAUUCGAAGCUACGCGAAAAAACCUUACCAGGUCUUGACAUCUUGCCCUAACCUUAAAAAAUAAAGCGUUUCCCUUCGGGGACGCAAUGACAGGUGGUGCAUGGUCGUCGUCAGCUCGUGUCGUGAGAUGUUGGGUUAAGUCCCGCAACGAGCGCAACCCUUGUUACUAGUUGCCAGCAUUAAGUUGGGCACUCUAGUGAGACUGCCGGUGACAAACCGGAGGAAGGUGGGGACGACGUCAGAUCAUCAUGCCCCUUAUGACCUGGGCUACACACGUGCUACAAUGGACGGUACAACGAGUCGCAAGCUCGCGAGAGUAAGCUAAUCUCUUAAAGCCGUUCUCAGUUCGGACUGUAGGCUGCAACUCGCCUACACGAAGUCGGAAUCGCUAGUAAUCGCGGAUCAGCAUGCCGCGGUGAAUACGUUCCCGGGCCUUGUACACACCGCCCGUCACACCAUGGGAGUUUGUAACGCCCAAAGUCGGUGGCCUAACCUUUAUGG